GACGAACGCUGGCGGCGUGCUUAACACAUGCAAGUCGAACGGAAAGGCCCUGCUUGCAGGGUGCUCGAGUGGCGAACGGGUGAGUAACACGUGGGUGAUCUGCCCCUUACUUUGGGAUAAGCCUGGGAAACUGGGUCUAAUACUGGAUAGGACCAUGCUGUAGGUGGUGUGGUGGAAAGAUUAGUUUCGGUAAGGGAUGAGCUCGCGGCCUCUCAGCUUGUUGGUGGGGUAAUGGCCUACCAAGGCGUCGACGGGUAGCCGGCCUGAGAGGGUGGAAAGCGACAUUGGGACUGAGAUGCGGCCCAGACUCCUACGGGAGGCAGCAGUGGGGAAGAUUGCACAAUGGGCGCAAGCCUGAUGCAGCGACGCCGCGUGGGGGAUGACGGCCUUCGGGUUGUAAACUCCUUUCAGCCAUGACGAAGCCCUUGUGGUGACGGUAGUGGGAGAAGAAGCACCGGCUAACUACGUG
rnacentral:rRNA from 1 species